GGAGGCAGCAGUAGGGAAUCUUCCGCAAUGGACGAAAGUCUGACGGAGCAACGCCGCGUGAGUGAUGAAGGCUUUCGGGUCGUAAAACUCUGUUGUUAGGGAAGAACAAGUGCUAGUUGAAUAAGCUGGCACCUUGACGGUACCUAACCAGAAAGCCACGGCUAACUACGUGCCAGCAGCCGCGGUAAUA
rnacentral:rRNA from 1 species